GCCCUCAUCGUCUAGUGGCUAGGACACCGCUCUUUCAAGGCGGUAACGGGGGUUCAAUUCCCCCUGAGGGCGCCA
rnacentral:tRNA from 1 species